GAGAGAGGGUUCAGGAAGUUGUGGAAAUUGCCAACCGUAAGCAGGUUCUUGAGCUCAAAAGGAAGCAGACUACAUAACCAUAUAGAGCAUGCUGGUAAGCUAUGUUUCUUUGUGUAUCCUCAUUUCAAAUCUUUUCUUGUGUUCAUGUCCUGAUUUUUCUACAUGAUGGACUGGGCUGACUUUUCAGCAGGUGAGUGAUGAGCAGACAGAACAGACAGAGCAUGGCAGCACUCCAACAUCUCCUUCCUGGAAAAUUAGUCUCCUGAUUUAUGUCACAGUCACAUGGCUACAAAAACUUCUUCUGUGCUUCCCACAAGUAAAAAAAGGUGUGUUUAACAUCACAAUUCUUCAGCAAAAUUUAAACAAAUCUGCAGUAAGUUACAGUGGUUAUGCUGGGAAUAAAUGUGGCCUGAGUUGUCAUUCUGCCUAA